ACGAACGCUGGCGGCAGGCCUAACACAUGCAAGUCGAACGCGUGUAGCAAUACACGAGUGGUGCACGGGUGAGUAACACGUGGGAACCAACCCUGAGGUUCGGAAUAACCGCGGGAAACUGCGGCUAAUACCGGAUAUCCCCUACGGGGGAAAGAUUUAUCGCCUUGGGACGGGCCCGCGUCCGAUUAGCUAGUUGGUGAGGUAAUGGCUCACCAAGGCAACGAUCGGUAGCUGGUCUGAGAGGAUGACCAGCCACACUGGAACUGAGACACGGUCCAGACUCCUACGGGAGGCAGCAGGGGGGAAUAUGGGGCAAUGGAGGCAACUCUGACCCAGCCAUGCCGCGUGGGUGACGAAGGUCUUCGGAUUGGAAAGCCCUUUCGGCGGGGACGAGGAUGACGGUACCCGCAGAAGAAGCCCCGGCUAACUUCGU
rnacentral:rRNA from 1 species